rnacentral:rRNA from 1 species
UACAUAAGUGGCAAGCGUUAUUCGGAAUAAUUGGGCGUAAAGGGUGAGUAGGCGGUCUAUUAAGUCUAAAGUUAAAAGCAGUGGCUCAACCACUGUGCGCUUAGAAACUGGUCGACUAGAGAGUGGUAGAGGUCGGUGGAAUUCCAUGUGUAGCGGUGAAAUGCGUAGAUAUAUGGAGGAACACCAGUGGCGAAGGCGGCCGACUGGCCAAUUCUGACGCUGAAUCACGAAAGCGUGGGGAGCAAAUAGG